GACAAAUUUAAUAAUACAUUCAAUAAUCAAUCAUUGGAGAUUCAUACACUGAGAUGAAAAGUGGACCAGAAGUGGAACUUGAGUGAACUCACAAUGUCUAAGAGACAUUGUAACUUGUGGAAACUCAUCUUUUCUCCAUGGGAAAGUGAAGGACCCAGGCAAUGUUCCCCUGCUAGAACUUUAGAGUUGGCCCUUCAAAUAUUUCAAUGAAUCCUCCAAUGUCAUCAUGACCCAAAUAAACAUUUAAUGAAAACCC